rnacentral:rRNA from 1 species
UACGUAGGGGGCAAGCGUUGUCCGGAUUUACUGGGCGUAAAGAGCGCGUAGGCGGAAGCUUGAGUGUGGCCUGAAAGCCCCCGGCUCAACCGGGGAGGGUGGCUGCAAACUGGGCUUCUUGAGGUCGAUAGAGGAGAGCGGAAUUCCUGGUGUAGCGGUGAAAUGCGUAGAUAUCAGGAGGAACACCGGUGGCGAAGGCGGCUCUCUGGGUCGGACCUGACGCUGAGGCGCGAAAGCGUGGGGAGCGAACGGG